UUAGUUGAGGAACAACUUUAGGCUGGUCAUAUAAAAUCAAUGCUUAGUCCUUGAAACACCCCCAUUUUUGUUAUUUUAAAAAAGUCAGGUAAUUGGAGUUUAC
rnacentral:sRNA from 1 species